GGGCCGGUAGCUUAGCCAGGAAGAGCACCUGACUUUUAAUCAGGUGGUCGCGGGUUCGAAACCACCAACCUU
rnacentral:tRNA from 1 species